rnacentral:rRNA from 1 species
AACGAACGCUGGCGGCAGGCUUAACACAUGCAAGUCGAACGGGCCCUUCGGGGUCAGUGGCAGACGGGUGAGUAACGCGUGGGAACGUGCCCUUCAGUUCGGGAUAACCCAGGGAAACUUGGGCUAAUACCGGAUACGUGCGAGAGCAGAAAGAUUUAUCGCUGAAGGAUCGGCCCGCGUCUGAUUAGCUGGUUGGUGGGGUAAUGGCCCACCAAGGCGACGAUCAGUAGCUGGUCUGAGAGGAUGAUCAGCCACAUUGGGACUGAGACACGGCCCAAACUCCUACGGGAGGCAGCAGUGGGGAAUAUUGGACAAUGGGCGCAAGCCCGAUCCAGCCAUGCCGCGUGAGUGAUGACGGCCUUAGGGUUGUAAAGCUCUUUCGCACGCGACGAUAAUGACGGUAGCGUGAGAAGAAGCCCCGGCUAACUUCGUGCCAGCAGCCGCUGUAA